AUGGGUAUUUCUGCUUGCUUAAGUGGCUGCACCGAAACCCUAGUUCUGUAAGCGAGGUUUUGGUCCUGACGAGGGCUGGAGGCGGCGGAAUGGAGACCCAGACUGGGGACGCGGGAUUGACCCGCCGCCCGACGCUAGCGUCUUCGUGGGAUGCAGCGAACGGGGCGCUGACCCAGAGCCUCCUUCUCACCCAGACUGGGCCCGGCGCCCAGAAUUUCGAGUGGGAGGAGCUUCUGGCGCCGCCUGCCCCAGGCCAGGAUCUGGUGAGCUUGAAGAGCAGCCCAAGCCCCCAAGGAGGAAGCCCCUGUUUCCUCUACCUGAGAUGUGACCCUAAGGGAGAAGAAGAAAUCGAUUCUGAUGGCCUUUUAAGUCCAGCAAGAAAUAUGGAAGUAUAUGUAGGAGAGGAAUACUGUGGAACCAGUAGGGGCAGCAGCAUUUGCACCAUUCUGGAUGGCAGGAUCAAAGCUAGACCUUGACAAGAUCCAAACAGUGAUGGAGGGCAUGGAUCAAAGUUACCAGCUGGAGCUCAGCAACUGAUGAAUAUAGUUAGAUUUCAGCAGCAGAAUGGAAGAACAGCCUAUUUGCUCCUGCUUGGGAAAGAUUUCUUUCCAAAGAUGUGGACCUGAUGGAAAAGAAACUUAUGGCCUGCAUGACCACCAGAUAUAUAAACUUCAGGUGCACAUAAAUUAUAAGAUUGCUUUGUCAAUGGACUUGCUACAAAACUCACAACUUCCCACCCGCUGGGACACUUCUAAUGCAUUAUAACUCUGGAGAAGAGCUUCAAAUGGAGAAGGGUCUCAACAUAUGCAGUGUCUUAUAAACAUUAUAUAUUUAUUACAAAGCUAAAACCCAAAAGUGUUUAUGAAAAGCAAGUAAUAUCUUUUGAAGGAUCAUUGUUUUACAUAAAGUGACCUCUGUUCAUUUUGACUGUCCUUGUUGUAAAUCCAGGACUGUACACUAAGAGUAAACAUGUUUACACUCGUAAGUUGUUUUUGUGUGGAAUAGUUUUUGCUUUUACAGAUUUACAUAGUUUAUAUUAAGUACAUAAAAUGUUUAAGGACUUCUGAUACUGUUCAUCAGUUUUUACUGUAUUGUUUAAGUACUGCUUUAAUUUAUACAAAGACUUUAUUUCAUAGUUUUAGGGUAUAAAGAGAAUCCUUAGAAUAUUCGGUAUUUUUUAUAAUUGUUGCUUCUGGAAGCUUUAUUUUUAGACCACCAAUUUAUAUUUUAUAUUGUUUAUUUCAGAUUUUUAAUAUAGAUAUGAUUAUUUCAUAUUUGGACCAUUAAGUUUAUGUUCCAUCACAUUGUUGCAGUAGAUAGGAAAACCAAACCAGAAUUGGCCCAUUCUUUGUUAGGAUUAUUAUUUUGGAUUUAGUGUUUGAUGUAAAAUGGGAGAAGUCAUCUUGUUUUACCUCAAAAACCCGGAACAUGUAAGGAGGUCUCCUUUUCUGGCCUUACACAGGGCCUUCUUUCCAAGCCUUUCCUGGUAGAUAUCAAAUGUGAAAUGCUAGGGCUGGGGAUUUAGCUCAGUGGCACCGCGCCUGCCUCCCAAGUGCAAGGUCCUGACUUCGAUCCCCAGUACCAAAAAAAAAAAGUGAAAUGCUAAGAAUCUGCAUUGAAUGAUUAAAGCAUACAAACGAAGGAAAUUGCAUUUCUUUCUGACAGACUUGAUUUUUGUACUAUUGUAUAUAUGUGUUGAAGGGUGACAUAUUUGCAGGUAAAAAUAAAUGCACCCACUCUGGAAGCUAUCUGUCUAGAAUAAAUAGAAGUAUUUUCACCUAAUAUUUAAGAUAUUUAUUUUUAUGAAAGGGUUGUUUUAUGCUGUUAAUAGAUUGUGAAUUGACUUCUGUAACAUGAGAACUGACUUAUGUAAUGUUUGUUCAUUUAUGAACAAAGUUCGCCUUAACCAGACAUGUUUUUCCACGGGAAAAACAAGCCCACACCAUCUUGUUUGCACCUGAAAUCUCCCACUUAAUUUUACUAAGUCAGCUGUACUAUGGUAAAUCCAUUGGCUGAAUUUCCUUCAAAUCAUACAAACCUGACCAAAUCAGGUAUCUUCUUUAACUUUUAUUUCUGUACCUCUUUUAGCUAUAAAGUAUGAAACUCUGCCAAUCUCAGUGAAUGUGUGCUUGAAGCCUAGUAAAUGGCUCCAUAUUAUUUCAUUGUAUAAUUGAAGCAUUACAGCAGGAGGACCGCCACAGGUUUGAAGCCAGUCUGGGCUACAUAGUGAAUUCAGGGCCAGCCAAAAUACAUAGGAAGACCCUGUCUCCAAAAAAAAGAAAAGUAUAUUACGUGAGAAUUCAAACAUACCUGCACAUGGAACAAAAUUCAGAAUUCUGUGAAGGGAGCUGGUAUAACAGCCUGUGUCAUCAGUGCUGGAGCGCGCAGAUUCUAACUCUGGCAGAACACUGCCCUUCCAAACACAAACUCUUUAAUCGAGGACCGUAAUUACUCCUAACAGAGAAGAUAGGAUACUUCUUUCUCAGAUUACAGGUUUGAGAAAUACCUGACAAAAUAUCCAGUACUCUAAAAGUUUUUUUUUCUUUCCACAGUUCUUUUUUUUUUUUUUUUUUUGUACUGGGGAUCAAACUCGGGUCCUUGCACUUGUGGGGCAGGCAGCAGAACCACUGAGCUAAAUCCCCGGCCCUCUCUUUCUACAGUUCUUAAUCCAGCUUUAGAUGGUUUAAACAGUAGUUAAGUGUACUUGGCAGACAGUUUAUUCUCUCCUGGUUCACUGCUCCUCAAUUUCAGUGUGUGAGAUUGAGUAAAUUGCUUAUUCCAGACAAAUUUGCUUUUCUGGGAAGAUGUGUUUAGGAGGAAGACCCGUGGUCUACAGGAAGACAGAAUGAGGGACAAGCGGCUCCUGAAGAAGCUGGUUUCUGGCCUGUGCAAACCACUUCCUAUCUCAGUCAGGACAAGGGGUUGGCUGGAAGCUUCCAGAAUACCCUUAGCCCUGAAAUGGCCUGAUCCAGUUUUCAGUGGGGGAACUGAAAACUUUUUCCCCUAAAACACUUAACACUUAACAAAGGUUUGCAUUCUCGGGAUUGUCAAAGAGUAACAUGUCGAAAAAAGUCUUAUUCCCAUAAAGUAUCUUUAAACCUACUGUACAGUUACAGGUCAUUCUGAGUCUGAGAUGGACAUAGUUUAAGAGGCACAGGUGGAGGAGUAAAACCACUAGCUCCAGUGCAAGCCCUAAGCAUAGAUCACUGCCUGUGAAAAGUAAAGAUUCUUUCCAAUGUCCUGGUCUUCUCUGUGGAUUUUGUAUCAGUCGUUUUCAUACAGAAAUAAACCUCUUUACUUAUUCCAGGCCAGCUUAGGGCCUGGAAACAAAAGGCUCUCCUCAUGGUUGUGGAGAAGGGUUAUCAGGUUGGGAGAAGCCACCUUCACUACCUGCCUGCAUUUCUCUGCCUAGGUGUAAAAGAUGUCUGAUCUCAGUACAAAGAUCAUAAUCAGCAUGGGCUUCAGCUUAGUGAUUGCUGCAGUUUUUCUGACAGCUAUUGUCACCAGUAUUUUCUUCUAUGUCUCCAAAGCGCUAAAGUGAGUCAUGCAGGUAGGAGUGAACAGUUCGCCCUCAAGUGGGACACCUGGUGCUCUGCUUGAACUGGGUUAUUCCUUGUGGCUGGGGCUACACCAUGGGUAAGGUCAAGAGCCACAGGCAGAUGGUACAGGAAAAGCAAAGGCAGGCGAGUACAGAAUCUUCCUUCUGGAUUGGGGUUAGCUGAAAAGUAGAACAUUCUCAGCCUUGAGGCUGUGUGUGUCAGCACCACAUCCGUGUCACUUGAUCUCCUGGGUUUCCCAUCAGAUGUUUAUUAGUCCCUUGCCAGAACCUCCCCUAGUCCCAUGCACUGGAGAUGGGACAAUCCCAGGGGAUCCUGUGGGAGUGAGUCAGGGGACAGGCCACACUGACCUUCUCUCACCCAGUUCAGGAGCUCCCAAGCAUGUUCCCUCAUUCAUUGCCCGUGGCCUCGGGGACAGUGAGGUGGGCCUUUAGGACCAAGGCCCUAUAGAAGACAGCUUACAAGCGGGAGUAGGUUAAGGCAAGAGAUUAUAGUUUGGGGAGAGGAUCUUUAAAUAUGAGAGAGACUAGCUGUAGCCUCAGUGAUGUCCCCAUUCUAGGGAAUUAUAUAGUAGAGCCCUUUCCCCCUCAUUCCUGCAGCAACUGGAUGGAUGAUCCGUACUUGUAAUCCAUUCCCUUUUUUUUUUUAAUGUAACCAGAGUACAUAUACAGCAGUUGUAAGAGAGAAAGGGAUAAGAAAGGAACUUGGCAACAGGACAGAGAGCUUUAAUCCAGGGCUGGUGUCUCGUGUGUUGCUGCAGCACUGAACUUCCCAGAGAGCCCUAGCAAUUGUAAGAAAUACACUGAAGCCCGGGGAUUUAGCUCAGUGGCAUUGCGCCUGCCUUGCAAGUGCAAGGUACUGAGUUCAGUCCCUGGUACCGCAAAAAAAGAAAAAAGAAAUGCACUGAAAAGAAAACUUUUAAGUCUCUGAUUUGUGUAUGUCUUUUCUUAAGAGCUGCAAAAGAACCUGAUCCUGAGGCUAACUCAGCCAACAACACCAAGGAUAGGGUCAUCCCGGCUGAAACUGCUGCCACUGAGUCUUUUCUCAUCCUUCAGUCUUGUGAUGAAUGUAAAAUGUAUGCAGAUCCCCUGCCACCUUGCUUUUGUGACAUAAAUUAGGGGCUCUAAUGUGGAGUUGGUGGACACAAAAAUCUUCAUAAACAGUAUUUCUUUCUUAGUAGAGUGUUAUUCAAGUCAAGUUCGAAAGCAUUUAUAUUUUCUAAUGUACUCUCACAUCAUAUGUACUUUUGAUUACAUGUGCAAUAAUGAAAAUCCUUUCUGCUUCCAGUUGUUAUGUCUUUUACUUAAAUAUGUGCAUUACCACCUUCGGACUUGAGGCAACUAGUUUAUAAUAUUGUAUUGCAAAAUAAGCAGGAGAGUUAGAGUACAAAAUAAAGAGCUUGUAUAUAGUUUAGCAAGAGGGGCUAUUGUUUUAACAGAUCCAUGAAAUAAAAAGCACUUGAGCCAA